GCGGACGUGGCGGAAUUGGCAGACGCGCACGGUUCAGGUCCGUGUUCCUUAACGGGAGUGGAGGUUCGACUCCUCUCGUCCGCA
rnacentral:tRNA from 2 species